rnacentral:rRNA from 1 species
GCACAGUAACACAACAAGAAAACCCUGUGUACCAAAUCGUUAAUCUAACACCAGAGCAUCCCCGGAAAGAUUAAAAGAGAGAGAAGGAACUCGGCAAACUUCAACCCCGCCUGUUUACCAAAAACAUCGCCUCUUGACCAACCAUAAGAGGUCCAGCCUGCCCAGUGAUAAAAUAUUCAACGGCCGCGGUAUCCUAACCGUGCGAAGGUAGCAUAAUCACUUGUUCUUUAAAUAGGGACUAGUAUCAACGGCAUCACGAGGGUUACACUGUCUCCCCCCUCCAAUCAGUGAAACUGAUCUUCCCGUGAAGAAGCGGGAAUAAAAUCAUAAGACGAGAAGACCCCAUGGAGCUUUAAAUCUAACGGCAACUCCGCCACAUAGUUCCUCAUAGCCCACAGAGUUAUGCACGUCGAUUUUAGGUUGGGGCGACCGCGGAGUAAAAAUUAUCCUCCACGACGAAAAGAACUAAAUCUUUAUCUAAGAGCCACCUCUCUAAGAAUUAGCCACUAACGAACAAUGACCCGAUAAUCGAUCAACGGACAAGUUACCUGGGGAUACAGCGCAUCUACUUAAGAGCCAUAUCGACAGUAGGCUUACGACCUCGAUGUUGGAUCAAGGUAUCCAGUGGUGCAGCCGCUACUAAUGGUUCGUUUGUUCACGAUUAAACCUACGUG